AAUGGACGCAAGUCUGAUGGAGCAACGCCGCGUGAGUGAAGAAGGUCUUCGGAUCGUAAAACUCUGUUGUUAGAGAAGAACACGAGUGAGAGUAACUGUUCAUUCGAUGACGGUAUCUAACCAGCAAGUCACGGCUAACUACGUGCCAGCAGCCGCGGUAAUACGUAGGUGGCAAGCGUUGUCCGGAUUUAUUGGGCGUAAAGGGAACGCAGGCGGUCUUUUAAGUCUGAUGUGAAAGCCUUCGGCUUAACCGGAGUAGUGCAUUGGAAACUGGAAGACUUGAGUGCAGAAGAGGAGAGUGGAACUCCAUGUGUAGCGGUGAAAUGCGUAGAUAUAUGGAAGAACACCAGUGGCGAAAGCGGCUCUCUGGUCUGUAACUGACGCUGAGGUUCGAAAGCGUGGGUAGCAAACAGGAUUAGAUACCCUGGUAGUCCACGCCGUAAACGAUGAAUGCUAGGUGUUGGAGGGUUUCCGCCCUUCAGUGCCGCAGCUAACGCAAUAAGCAUUCCGCCUGGGGAGUACGACCGCAAGGUUGAAACUCAAAGGAAUUGACGGGGGCCCGCACAAGCGGUGGAGCAUGUGGUUUAAUUCGAAGCAACGCGAAGAACCUUACCAGGUCUUGACAUCCUUUGACCACCUAA
rnacentral:rRNA from 2 species